GUGCUCACCUCAGUGGCACAUAUACUAAAAUUUAAAUGAUACACAGAAGAUUAGCAUGGCACCUGCGGAGGCAUGACAUGCAAAAUUGUGAAGCAUUCCCUAUUUUU